CCACCAUCUCGGGACUCCUUGGUCUGACCUACCGUGGAUAUUCCUGCAGACCCUGCGGGAGGGGACAGGGACAAGCGAGACACCUCAGAAAGCAAGGGUGAAUUGCAGCACGUAGAUAAGCUCCAAAUUCCCAUCUGUGUUGUACUUAAGUUCCCCUGCAAGUCUACAAGGGCUAUUGAAGUUGUAUCCCACAGGAAGAGGAUCAGGUUCAAGAGAAGAUUGCUUUAUAAUCUAUUCCAGCAACACUGUAAAAAAAGAAGAUAGAUAUACCUCUGUGUGGAAAUGACAGACUUACAACAAGCACCUUUUCCAGGACCAGGAUCAGACACACACCCACAGUAAGCCUGAACCUCUGAUGGGGGAGUAGCAACAGUCAUAUGGUGAGAGAACGCAUUGAAUGCUGAACCUUCAGUCCAAUUUGUCUGGCCAGGUUGUGGUACAGCAGCGAGGGUGACAAAGAAAGAAUGGUGAAGAUGGAGCAGUUAAAAGCAUGAUGCCAUAUCCAACUCAGGCAAAAGAUUCACCACCUCUGCCUUAAGGAUGAUGCUUAUUUUUUCCUACCUCCGGAAAUCAAAAAACRUAUUUCUUUCUCACAGUUGUGUCCCCACCACCAC
rnacentral:lncRNA from 1 species